rnacentral:rRNA from 1 species
UCCAGACUCCUACGGGAGGCAGCAGUGAGGAAUAUUGGUCAAUGGGCGCAGGCCUGAACCAGCCAAGUCGCGUGAGGGAAGACUGCCCUAUGGGUUGUAAACCUCUUUUAUAAGGGAAGAAUAAUGACUACGUGUAGUCAGAUGCCCGUACCUUAUGAAUAAGCAUCGGCUAACUCCGUGCCAGCAGCCGCGGUAAUACGGAGGAUGCGAGCGUUAUCCGGAUUUAUUGGGUUUAAAGGGUGCGCAGGCGGCACGGCAAGCCGGCGGUCAAAUCGCGGGGCUCAACCCCGCCCAGCCGUCGGAACUGCCGGGCUAGAGUGGGCGAGAAGUGCGCGGAAUGCGUGGUGUAGCGGUGAAAUGCAUAGAUAUCAGGAGGAACACCGGUGGCGAAGGCGGCCUGCUGGACUGCGACUGACGUUGAGGCCCGAAAGCGUGGGGAGCAAACAGGAUUAGAUACCCUCGUA